UACAGAGGUCUCAAGCGUUGUUCGGAUUCAUUGGGCGUAAAGGGUGCGUAGGCGGCGCGGUAAGUCGGGUGUGAAAUCUUGGAGCUUAACUCCGAAACUGCAUUCGAUACUGCCGUGCUUGAGGACUGGAGAGGAGACUGGAAUUUACGGUGUAGCGGUGAAAUGCGUAGAUAUCGUAAGGAAGACCAGUGGCGAAGGCGGGGUCUCUGGACAGUUCCUGACGCUGAGGCACGAAGCCAGGGGAGCAAACGGG
rnacentral:rRNA from 1 species